UUUCCGUAGGUGAACCUGCGGAAGGAUCAUUACCGAGUGAGGGCCCUCUGGGUCCAACCUCCCACCCGUGUUUAUCGUACCUUGUUGCUUCGGCGGGCCCGCCUCACGGCCGCCGGGGGGCACCCGCCCCCGGGCCCGCGCCCGCCGAAGACACCAUUGAACGCUGUCUGAAGAUUGCAGUCUGAGCAUCUUAGCUAAAUCAGUUAAAACUUUCAACAACGGAUCUCUUGGUUCCGGCAUCGAUGUAGAACGCAGC
rnacentral:misc_RNA from 1 species